AUGCUUACUUAGGCAGCACAUAAACUAAAAUUGUAAUGAUACAGUGAAGAUUAUCAUGACCCCUGCACAAAGGACACAAGGCAUUAGUGGAGCAAUGUGUAUUUUU